CCUACGGGGGGCAGCAGUGAGGAAUAUUGGUCAAUGGACGGAAGUCUGAACCAGCCAUGCCGCGUGCAGGAAGACGGCUCUAUGAGUUGUAAACUGCUUUUGUACAAGGGUAAACCUGAAUACGUGUAUUCAGCUGAAAGUACUGUACGAAUAAGGAUCGGCUAGCUCCGUGCCAGCAGCCGCGGUAAUACGUAGGGAGCGAGCGUUAUCCGGAAUUAUUGGGUGUAAAGGGUGCGUGGACGGGAAAACAAGUUAGUUGUGAAAUCCCUCGGCUUAACUGAGAAACUGCAACUAAAACUAUUUUU
rnacentral:rRNA from 1 species